AGAGUUUGAUCAUGGCUCAGGAUGAACGCUGGCGGCGUGCCUAACACAUGCAAGUCGAGCGAGAAAUGUAUUUAUGAAACUUCGGUAGAUUAGAUACAUGGAAAGCGGCGGACGGGUGAGUAACGCGUAGGCAACCUGCCCCUUUCAGAGGUAUAGCCAUUGGAAACGAUGAUUAAAACCUCAUAACGCUGCAUUGUCACAUGAUAGAGCAGCCAAAGAUUUAUCGGCAAGGGAUGGG
rnacentral:rRNA from 1 species